rnacentral:rRNA from 1 species
CAAGUCGAACGGUCCGCUUCGGCGGAUAGUGGCGCACGGGUGCGUAACACGUAUGCAACCUACCUUACAUUGGGGGAUAGCCUUUCGAAAGGGAGAUUAAUACCGCAUAAGACAGUAGCUGGGCAUCCAGUAGCUGUUAAAGAUUUAUCGAUGUAAGCUGGGCAUGCGUCCAAUUAGUUAGUUGGUGAGGUAACGGCUCACCAAGACGAUGAUUGGUAGGGGAACUGAGAGGUCAAUCCCCCACACUGGCACUGAGAUACGGGCCAGACUCCUACGGGAGGCAGCAGUAGGGAAUAUUGGGCAAUGGACGCAAGUCUGACCCAGCCAUGCCGCGUGCAGGAAGAAGGCGUUCUGCGUUGUAAACUGCUUUUAUAUAGGAAGAAACGACCCUUGCGAGGGGCAUUGACGGUAUUAUAUGAAUAAGCACCGGCUAACUCCGUGCCAGCAGCCGCGGUAAUACGGAGGGUGCAAGCGUUGUCCGGAUUUAUUGGGUUUAAAGGGUGCGCAGGUGGUUUAUUAAGUCAGUGGUGAAAGACGGUCGCUCAACGAUUGCAGUGCCAUUGAUACUGAUAGACUUGAGUAAAGUAGAGGUGGGCGGAAUUGAUAGUGUAGCGGUGAAAUGCAUAGAUAUUAUCAAGAACUCCGAUUGCGAAGGCAGCUCACUUGGCUUUUACUGACACUCAUGCACGAAAGUGUGGGUAUCAAACAGGAUUAGAUACCCUGGUAGUCCACACUGUAAACGAUGAUAACUAGGUGUUGGCCGAAUCUGGUCAGUGCCACAGCGAAAGCGUUAAGUUAUCCACCUGGGGAGUACGCCCGGCAACGGUGAAACUCAAAGGAAUUGACGGG